CCAGAGAAUUUAGCAGAGAUGCUUUAGUGCCUUCGGGAACUCUGAGACAGGUGCUGCAUGGCUGUCGUCAGCUCGUGUUGUGAAAUGUUGGGUUAAGUCCCGCAACGAGCGCAACCCUUAUCCUUUGUUGCCAGCACGUAAUGGUGGGAACUCAAAGGAGACUGCCGGUGAUAAACCGGAGGAAGGUGGGGAUGACGUCAAGUCAUCAUGGCCCUUACGAGUAGGGCUACACACGUGCUACAAUGGCGCAUACAAAGAGAAGCGAUCUCGCGAGAGCAAGCGGACCUCAUAAAGUGCGUCGUAGUCCGGAUUGGAGUCUGCAACUCGACUCCAUGAAGUCGGAAUCGCUAGUAAUCGUAAAUCAGAAUGUUACGGUGAAUACGUUCCCGGGCCUUGUACACACCGCCCGUCACACCAUGGGAGUGGGUUGCAAAAGAAGUAGAUAGCUUAACCUUCGGGAGGGCGUUUACCACUUUGUGAUUCAUGACUGGGGUGAAGUCGUAACAAGGUAAGCGUAGUGCU
rnacentral:rRNA from 1 species